AGCGCUUUGGAGAUCCCGAGGAUCUGUAUCUUGCUUCAACAGUGUUUGGACGGAACAGACCCGGGGACUCCCACUUUAUUCACUUCCAGCCGCCUUACAAGUCUCUCCAGUCGCAGCCUCCGGGACCAUCUCCUUGCCGCCUUCGGCUCCUAGGACCAGCCAGCCCCGUCUUGGCGGUUAGCUCCAUACUCCGGAUCAGCCAUGACCUCUCAGAUUCGUCAGAAUUAUUCCACCGAAGUGGAAGCUGCCGUGAACGGCCUGGUCAACUUGCACCUGCGGGCCUCUUACACCUACCUCUCUCUGGGCUUCUUUUUUGAUCAGGAUGACGUGCUUUGGAGGGCGUAGGCCACUUCUUUCGCGAAUUGGCGGAGGAGAAGCGCGAGGGCGCCGAGCGUCUCCUCAAGUUGCAGAACGAACUCGGGGGCCGUGCACUCUUCCAAGAUGCGCAGAAGCCAUCUCAAGAUGAGUGGAGUAAAACCCUGGAGGCCAUGGAAGCUGCCUUGGCCCUGGAAGAAGAACCUGAACCAGGCCCUCUUGGCAUCCCCUGGGUUCUGCCAGCACAGACCCUCAUCUCUGUGUCUUCUUGGGGAAGCCACUUCCUGGAUAAAGAGGUGAAGUUCAUCAAGAAGAUGGGCAACCACCUGACCAACCUCCGUAGGGUGGCAGGGCCACAACCAGUGCAGACUGGCGUGGCCCAGGCAUCUCUGGGCAAGUAUCUCUUUGAGUGCCUCCCUCUCAAGCAUGACUAG